GGUCAAUGUUCAGAAAUUUGUGGUGCAAAUCAUUCUUUUAUACCAAUUGUGGUGGAAAUUAUUUUGUUUGAUUUUUUUAAAAAUUGAAUUUUAUUAAUAUUAGCUAUUUAUUUUAUUAUAGAAUUUUUAUUUGUGAUAUAAAAAGUGUUUAGCUUUAUUUUUUUUUUUUAUUAUUUUUUGUUGUUGAAAUAAUUAAUAAAAAAAUGAUUUUAUCAUUUAUUAAAAAUAAAAAUGGUUUUUAUUUAUUUUUUUGGUUUAAAACAAAAAAAAUAAAUAAAAAAAAUUUAGAAAUUAUGUUUUUAUAUAUAUUAGUUUUAUAAUAUUUUUUUUUAUAAUAUUUUUUUUUAUUUUUUUUUUAUUUAAAUCAAUUUUUUUAAAUAAAAAAUUUAAUUAUUAUUAAUUUUUUAUUUAAAAUGUAGAAUAUCUUAAAUUUUUUAUUUUAAUUAAAAAUAAAAUGAAAUGUUUUUUAAAAUCUUUGGUGAUUUUAUUUUUAAUUUUCUUUUUCUGUUCAAUGAUUUUUAAAUGACAUCUUUAGCGUGAUUGAUCAAAGGUAGCAAAAUGAUUUGUUUUUUUAUUGAAUUCUAGUAUGAAUGGGAUAUUAUUAUUUUAAUUUUAAUUUCAUUAAAAUGAAUUUUUUAAAAAUUUAAAAAAUAAUUUAUAUAUUAAGACUAAGAAAAGUCUUUAGAAAUU
rnacentral:rRNA from 1 species